GAGGCAGGCGGAUCACCUGAGGUCAGGAGUUCAAGACCAGCCUGGCCAACAUGGUGAAACCCCUGUCUCUACUAAAAAUACAAAAAAUUAGCCGGGUGUGGUGGCACGCACCUAUAAUCCCAGCUACUCGGGGGGGCUGAGGCAGGAGAAUCGCUUGAACCUGGAAGGUGGAGGCUGCAGUGAGCUGAGAUCGUGCCAUUGCACUCCAGCCUGGGCAACAAGAGUGAAACGCCAUCUAAAAAAAAAAAAGGUAACAAAAAACUCUCCCUCAAAUUCGUGUUGAUACCUAAUUCCCAAUGUGAUAACAUUUGGAGGUGCGGCCUUUGGGAGGUGAUGCAGUCAUGAGGGUGGAGACCUCAUGAAUGGGAUUAGUGCCCUUAUAAAAGAGACCACCAGAGAGCUUCCUCUCCCCUUCCUUCAUCUGAGGACACAGUGAGAAGCCAGCUGUCUAUGAACCAGAAAGCAGGCCCUCAUCACACAUUGAUUCUGCUGGCGUUUUGAUCUUGGACUUCCCAGCCUCCCUGUGAGAAAUGAAUUUCUGUUGCUUACAGGCCACCUGGUCUAUAGUCCUCUGUUACAGCAGCCUGAAUGAACCAAGACACCCAUGUACACAUUUACAAACAAAACAAGUACGGCCUAGCCCACAUUCUCAGGAGCUUACAAUUUUCCUUUAAGUAAAGUUACGUGGGAAGACCCUGAACUGUGGAGCAAAAAGGGCCUGCGUUGAGACUAGCUCUCCUGCUUGUCGUGCUGUGGUCUUGAGAAGCACCUGAACUCUUUGACCCCUUUCUCCUCAUCUGUGGAAUUAGGGUAACUAUGCCAUUCCCCAGGCUUGCUACCAGGAGGAGAAUGCGGGGACAGACUUGGGAGCAGCUCACAUUCCUGAAGAAGUUAACGUUCUAAGGUAUGGUGGUGACAAGCCGGACCGGGCAGAAUACAUUCUUCCCGUGGUGAAACAGAGGAAAAUAAAGCUGGACAGACAGUGAAGGGCCCUGUCAUGGAAAGCUCCAGCCAGACAGAGCGGUCUGGAGUUUGUUUUGCAGGCAGUGGUCAUGGGGAAAGGCUUUGUGAAACUCACGGUUCAGCGGCUGAGUCUCACCGCCUGUGUAGCUUGGGUGGGGUGGAGUGAGACUGGAGGCUGGGAAGCACCUGAGAGGUGUCAAGGGCUGCCGUGUGGACUUAGCCUGGGGCAGUGGGAGGGGUAGGGGUGGAAGGCAGGCCACAGGAGUGAAAAUAGGGCCCCGGUUUCCAGGGCGUCGUUCCCCCUGCAUCUUGCUCUCUGCCUUUCUCCUCUUGUCCUUCUGUCUCCACCCCUAUCCCCAUCUCCCAAAUGCUUCAGAGCAUAAAGGUGCUGCCCAGCCAAAAUCACCCGCACAAACUCCAGGUAAACUUGGUCUGGGCAGCUUUGAGUGGGUCAUGAGUGGAGGAAGGGCAGGCCCACUCUUUCCUUAGUAUAUGAGUGAGAAAAGCGACCGCUGGUUAGAUCUCACAGGAAACCAGAGCCUUGUGGCAGCACCUGACUUCAGGUGCAGCACAGCCCACGGAGUGAGAAGCUGACACCUCUGUGCCUGCUGAGGCAGGCUGCUCCUUCUACACCAGGCCAGGGAAAUCAGGUCACCCACUCCAACAGUCUGCCGGACGCUGGGGACUGACUGCUGCCUCUGGGGCAUCCACCACAAAGGAUUCAUGGACUCACUGACAGGGCCAGGCACCUGGCUAAGGAUCUCAAACUGGUGCGGCCCACGGGUCCAUUCAAUCUAUAGAUGGGUUUUGUGCGGCCAACACCGUCCUUCUUGUCUACCUGUUGUAUAUGCAUUCUGGCCUUGCCCCUGAGUUUAUGAAUUUACCAACCCCACCUUAGCAGGGCAUGAAGAAAUGCAAAGGCGCUCCAGGAGCUUCUGAUUUUGCUGGGAAAACAAAACAAGUAUACAGGCAAAGAGGGAGGACAAUGGCAGACCCAAUGCAUGGGGCAGUCAUCUGCAUUUCUGAGUUGAAUUUAGAGAAGAGAUCUUCUCCCACAGAUGAUAAAGGGGUGCAUAGAGGUGAGGUGCACACGGCCUGGGGGAAGUCAGCCCUGGGAUGAGCAUGGGAGAGGGAGGUUCCCCAGUGGGGAAGGACACGAGGGUAUGGACUGGAGAAAAUCUGCAUGGCUGGGCCCCAUUCCACAAACAGAGGGCCCCGAGAGGUGUCUGCGUAAGGGAGUGAUGAUGAAGGCACAUGGGGAGAGUGUACAGGACUGGGCCACCCAGGAAUCAAUAAUCUGGAAAAGGUGGCAGAGUGGGGAGCUCUGAUUCAGGAGAGGCACUGCUUUGGGAGAAAUCUCAGAGGAUGUAAAGACUGAUGCCGUGUGGAAGUUGGAUUCAAAGGACACCAGGCUUGAAGCUUCAGAGUAUGUAAGAGAGGUGCAGCUCUGGUUAUUGAAGCAGGGGAAUCAUGAGAGGGAGGUUGCUCAGGGUGGGAGGUGAGAAGCUGAGACAUUUUGGUUUAAAUGUUAUAUUUAACAGAAGAGAUAUGCAGCUUACAUUGAGAGCUAUGGGGCAGGACAUGGAGGCCUGGUGGAAAAGUGCAUGUGGAGGUGAUGAUUUAGGGCAGGGAUGGAUUCGGUGAAACCCCGAAAAAAAUGUGGAGGGACAGAUACUGGGGAUAAGGAAAAAGGAAAUUGUUGUGGAACUGGAGAGGUGGGGUGUACACAGGUGUCAGGGGAGAAGACAGUCCUAGGGAAGUGCUCUAUUAGCAUUACCAAUUGCAGAGGUUUCAGAAAGAGUGCUGAGAAGAGGCUGGGGCGUCUGAAGCUAAGGGGCAACAAGAUUUUCAGCAGGGGUGCGGAAACGGGCAAUACCUUUCAGGGUAGAGGAGAGCAGGUGCAGGGGAAGGAAGGUGGACUGGUAGAGACUGCUAUCUCAGGGAACAGGCAGUGGAAGUGAUGGGUAGGAAGAAAAAGGAAGGCAUAGAUGUUUGGAGGCAAAAGGGAAGGAGACAGUGAGAAGGAAGUGCUGAAUUUGCUGAGGACAAAGGAGAAAAUGAGACAGAAAGAGGCAGAUGAGGUGGACGGGGUAGACGGAGAUGCUAAUCUUGGAUUUCACAACAGGCUGCAUCCCCUAUCCCUCCACUGUGUGCCAGGCCUACCAGCCUGCACCUGGCCCCAGUACCCCCAGGCCUUGGUCUUUAUUCUUGUGGUUAGGCAGCAUGGAAGUCAGGCAACUGGAUGGACCAGGCAUUCUCUGGGAAUGGCCAAGGGUGUUCAAAGCCCAGGGCUGGGACCCAGAGCACCAGCAAUUAUUCCUUUUCCCGUUUGCUACUGAUUCUUCUUUUCUUCCUUCAUCAUAGGGCCCAUCAGAGCUGGUGGCUAGAAAUCAUCCAGAGGGCUGUAAACAUUAGUGAGGCACUGAGUGGUCCCUGUUUCGGCCAAGGCAUAAGCAGACAGAUGGGAAGUGAAAGUGGGUAACCACUGAAAGGUGAGGGCGAGGGCUGGUUUCAUCAUCAGCGCCGCUGGCAACAAGAGCUAUUAAGAGCCAGCCUUUGGCGAGACAGUAAGGAACUACAGAUUUAAAAUUCCUAGCAGCAAAGCUGUGUCUCUUCAGGGUUUGGUUACCCAUGCUGAUCCCAUAACAACCACCAUGCCAAUGGCAGGGAACAUCAACAAGCAAGGUGGUGACCAUGAGGAUGACCUUGCCACAAAACCAACCAUACACCCCACACCCCUGGGGAAGGAGGCACCCACCAGCUGGGCCCUGUGGGGCUGUUCCAGAAAGUGCAGGUUGGGAGGAGGAUGGAGUGAGGAAAGAGGCCAGGGUCUAAAUGGAAAGGGCCAGUGAAAGGGAGAGACAGGCUUGUUAAUCAAUGACCACUACAGAGUUGGAAAGAGAAGGCAAAGAAAAUGCCUCACUGCUGAGGAUCAGCGUCCAAAGAUUUCAUUCUACUGAGAGUUAAAGAGAUGCCAAAGCCGGGAUUAAUGUUGGCAAAGGAGAUAUGGAUGGGCCAUGACACCACCAGCCAUAUGUAAUCAGAAGGGGAUCAAAAAACAUCCCCAGCCUUGAAAUUGGCAUUUUCUCUUAUGUGCUGGGUGGACAUUUGGCAAUAUCAUAUAAAAUGAAAAUAUUUGCAUAGCCCAUGACCCAGAGAGUCCACUUGCAUAAGGACGUGCUUUAUAAUGGUCUAUUCCACUGCAGAUAAUAAAAGAAGGCGUGCAAGAAGAUCUAUAUGCAGUGACGUGCAAAGGUAUCAAGAACAAGUUGCGAAACCCCAUGGUAUGAUUUCAUCUGAUUAAAAGAAAAAAGGUGGUAGGUGCUGAAUGGUUGAAUAAAUGAACAGUCCUAAAAUGGAUAUAUUUUGGGGCAACAGUAAGUUGCCCCCAGGAAGAAAAUCACUUUUGGAAAAUAAAACUGGCAAGAAUCUAUGCUAAAUGGAUGAGACCAGCCACAGAAGCACUUCAUCCUAAAAGAUGGUAAAGGUGGUGUAUACAAAAUUAGGCCGGGUGCAGUGGGUUAUGGCUGUAAUCUCAGCACUUUGGGAGGCCUAGGUGGGUGGAUUGCUUGAGCCCUGGAGUUCGAGACCAGCCUGGGCAACAUGGUGAAACCCAGUCUCUACAAAAAAUACAAAAAUUAGCCAUUCGUGGUGGGAUGCAACUGUAGUACCAGGUACUGGGGAGGCAGAGGAAGGAGGAUCACCUGAACCUGGGAGGUCAAGGCUCCAGCGAGCUGAGAUUGCACCACUGUACUCCAACCUGGGCAACAGAGUGAGGCCUUGUGACAAAAAAACAAAACAAAACAAAACAAAAAACCCAACCAACUUGGGUUGGGCAGGGUGGCUCACGCCUGUAAUCUGAAAACCUUGGGAGGCCGAGGCGGGUGGAUCACUUGAGGUCAGGAGUUUGAGACCAGCCUGGACAACAUGGUGAAACCCUGUCUCUACUAAAAUUACAAAAAUUAGCUGGGCAUGGUGGCAGGAGCCUGUAGUCCCAGCUACUCAGGAGGCUGAGGUGGCAGAAUUGCUUGAACCCAGGAGGCAAGGGUUGCAUUGAGCUGAGAUUGUGCCAUUGCACUCCAGCCUGGAUGAUGGAGCAAUACUCCGUCUCAAAAAAUUAAUAAACAAAUAAAAACAAAAUAACAAAACUGGGGGAUACCCAAACCCAAUUAAUAUUCAAAUAAAUGCUUGUUAAAUGCCA